UACAGAGGGGGCUAGCGUUAUUCGGAAUUAUUGGGCGUAAAGGGCGCGUAGGCGGCCUUGCGUGUCUUUCGUGAAAUCCCUCGGCUUAACUGAGGACGUGCGGAAGAAACUGCAGGGCUUGAGUCCGGGAGAGGGGGGUGGAAUUCCCAGUGUAGCGGUGAAAUGCGUAGAUAUCUGGAGGAAUACCGGUGGCGAAGGCGGCAUCCUGGACCGGCAUUGACGCUGAUGAGCGAAAGCUAGGGGAGCAAACGGG
rnacentral:rRNA from 1 species